CAGGAAGCAGCUCCAGCAGGCCCCAUCCAGCAAGUCUUCAAGCUCCUUAGAAAAGGAAUGGCUGCAGCAUUUCUCAACUGGGAUUCUGUGAAUAAAUGAAACCCUACAGAAAAUGACACCAGUGACUUUUCUCAGUCCUCCCAGGAAUGACACCAUUCUACAGGCAUGGGAAAGAAGUUGAUUCAUUACAAACAGGGGCUGUCCCCGAAUGUUAGGGCUUAAUUCUUUCUGGAAGUCAGUUAAGAAAGGCUGGUGGGGAGUUUAUUUAGGUAUUUAAUGAAUACCUGUUUGAUAUCUGCGGGCAUUGUUCUAAGCCCUACACUGUCCAGUUCGGUAGUCAUGAUCCAACCACAUGUCCAUUGAGCAUUUGCAAUGAGUCUUAUCCAAAUUGUGAUGUACUCUAAGUAUAAAACACACACUGAAUUUCAAAGAUUUAGUAUAAUGAAAUGUAAAAUUUCUCAUUAAUAAUUUUUAUAUUGAAUUUUAUGUUGAAAUGACCAUACUUGGAUAGAUUGGGCUAAAUCAGAGGUUGACAAACUUUCCCUCUGAAAGACUGGAUAGUAAGAAUUUUCAGCUUUGUGGAUCACCUGGUCUCAACUAUGCAACUACUCAACUCUGCCAUUGCAGUGCAAAAUCAGCCAUAGACAAUAUAAAAACAAAUGGGCAUGGCUUGUUCCAAUAAAACUUUAUUUAAAAAAAACAGAUGGUGGGCCAGAUUUCCCCCACAGGCUGUAUAGUUUGCUGAUUUCUG
rnacentral:lncRNA from 1 species